GAGGUGACCAUUAGAGUACAAU
rnacentral:siRNA from 1 species